GUUUGCAGUUAAACACCAAUUUAACCUUACCAACAAUGGAAAAUGGGCUGACCAUAUUCAAAAUAUGAUACAAAAAGUUUCAAAAAUGGUUUCCUCAAUGCAACUAUUAAAAUAUGUAUUGUGUAGGG